rnacentral:tRNA from 3 species
GCGCCUCUAGCUCAACGGUAGAGCAGCGGGCUUUUAACCCGUUGGUUCAGGGUUCGAAACCCUGGGGGCGCA